UUUGCAUCAUCUGAAGUCGGACUCUCAGACAAAGCAUAUUACAUCAUGUUAAUAUGUAAACGUGUUGCUUAAAAUUAACUUUACAAGGAAAUAUACUAAAAUGUCUGAUCCUGAAAAGUGCUGAACAUCUUGUAUGAGGCUAAUCUCUUUGAACCUCUCUGAUGCCAAUGGAAGUGAAAGACAGCAGCGAGCCUUCAACACCAAGACUGGGACCUAGAUAAGUCAAGAUCACACUUAGUGGGAUUUAUCCCCUCUCUCUGUCCUAGCAUUUAGACCACAUUUUCCAACCAUCUGCAUCUCCAAUUAAUUUCAAUCUCAUAAUCUGUCUCAAUGUAUGUAAAAGGAAAUUAAAACGCAACAUACUUAGUUAGGCGAUGCUCAUACUAAAGAGAUGGGCAUGAGUCUAAAACCAUAUGUUAGACUGAAAUUCAUAAAAAUUGUCCUUAAUUUCCUGAGAAAUUUAAGACCCGUUAAAGGUUCAGAGAAGACUUGAUUACAAUCAAAAUACCUACUGGCAGAACAACAAUUUAAUCAUGGACUCUUCACUUUAUCAAAAAAAGAUAUAACAUGAUCCAGUGUCUGGAAGCUGAAGCUAGACAAAUUCAGUUUGGAUAAAACUUAUGAGGAAAGCAGAAAGGAGAGUCAAAGGGACAAAACCAAGGGAGAACAUAGACUUACAAAAGUAGAAGAAGAACUCAUGGACAGAUGGACGGACACUCAGACAGACAGGUGCACAAACUUUCCAAAAUAUAUAAUUGGUAAUGAACUGUAGGGGCUCACCCAGGAUAAGGUAGAGCCAUGACCAGAGAAACAGAAGUGGAGAAAUUUAUGCUAGUACUGUCCAAGC